UCCUCCUGUGCACUAAAAAAACCCUUCUAUAGGUGAAGUUCAUACCCUCGGUCUUUGGUCUUUUACCAUUUUCCAGAGAGAGCUGGAAAAGUCCCCUGAAUAACUGGGAAGAAUCGAGGGAAUAGGGUGCUGGAAAAGUCAUCCUUGUCAAGCUGCAAACCCAACAAAUGUUCCAGGAUAAAGGGUCUCGGAGCAGGACACUGUGACAGAAUUUAGGGCCCACCCUAAAUCCAGGACCAUCUCAUCUGGAGAUCAUGAACUUAAUCAUCUGCAAACUUUCUUCUUCUAAAUAAGACUCUAUGAAAUCCCAGUGUCUGGGCAUGACUACACUGGAGAAAGCAGAAAGCCAUAAACAGUGUUUUGUUGGAAGACAGGAUGGACUUAGACUCUGAGCAGCUUUGAAAAUCAGACCCAAGAGUUUGAUUUUUAUUCUUCACGUUAUUGCUGCAGACGGACACUUUUGUUUGCCUAUCCAACAGCAGAAUCAUUGGAAAUGAGAAGACAGAAGAAUGUAUGGCGUUUAUACAGUCUACACUGCUGCACAGUCAGUGUAGACCAGCCUGGGACUCUGACGGCCCUGGAUAGGCAGAUGAGCUGUUCGCUUGGAAGGCUUUAAAUUCUAGUAUCACUCCAACUCCUGGGGGACACUGGGCUUCUUGGUCAUCUGCAUCCUUAGGACAGGACAGGACUUCAAUGAGAGAGCCUAAAAUGUCUCAAAUAAUUGUAAGCAUUUCAUGGUGAUUCUCCAUAAAGAAGGCUCAGAGGCAGGAAAGUCACGUGCUCCUAGAUCUCUUUUUAUACACCAUUAUGGUUUAAAUACUUAAAAUUUAUUUUAGACAGGGUCUUGCAUAGCUCCCUGGGGAUUUUUUUUUUUUUUUUUAACAGCUAGGAGCUGGCACGGUGGUGCAUGUCCAUAAUCCCAGCAACUAGGGAGGCUGAGGCAGGAGUGUGGCAAAUUCAAGGCCAGCUUCGGCAACUUAAUGAGGCCCUGUCUCAAAAUAAAAAUUUAAAAGGGCUGGGAAUGUGGCUCAGUGAUUAAGCAUUCCUGGGUUCAAUCCCCAGUACAGAAAGAAAGAAAGAAAGACAGGAAGGUAUCUGGUCAAAUGAGUGUUUGUGGAACGCCUGGCCUGCUAGAAAGUUCCAGUUGGUCCAGUCCUAUUGCCACUGCAUUGUACAACAUGGGCCCCUAUUUGGGACGUCUUUAGAACCUGUGAGAAAUACUCUAGAAGCCCCUCCUGGAUGGCAAGCAACACUUUUUGAAACAGGCUAAAGUUGGAUAAUCAAGUGAAGAGUUCCUCCUUGGGCACCAGCUGAGGGGUGGCAUUAGCAAGGAGACUGAGCUCUAAGGCUAGGGGCCAACCUGGAGAAAUGGCAGCACCUCGCACCCCCUCCAGUUCUGAAGAGCAAGCUCCCACUGAAGUCGAAGGCGAAGUGCAUUUGUGGGCGAAGAAUUAGAAGGCUCUCUCGGGUGGAAAAUAUUUUACAUGCUCUUGCUGCAGCCAAGUGCCUCAAGGAAAAAAGUUUAAAAGAAAGGAGUUUCCACAGUCUCCUGCCUCAGGGUGUUUUUGAGGACAAACACAUAAAAAGACAAUAGGUACUUACUAAAUUCUGCUUUCCUUCUUCCUCUUCCCUUCUCAUGAAAUGGGAAUGGAGUCUAACAUUUCAGGUGCCACACCCCAAAACGCCUCUUCUGGUUUUCUUCCGAGGUCCCACAAUGAAACCAGGACACAGGCAAUACAGCUGCAAGAAGACAGGCCCACAACGUAUUUCUGGAGGAGGAGGCCUUAGAGUUCUGGUGAAAUCCCAUGUUCCAAGUCAAAUAUCACAGCAUCUUGAUUUUGGCCUUGCAGCACCCAGAUCCCUGAAGAAUAAAUUCCUGUUGUCACUGAGUUUGUGGUAAUUUGUUAAGGCAGCCCUAGGAAACUAGGACAGGGACCAAACACUGCAAUUAAAAGAUGGGGAUUAUUGUGCUGGAGGAGAAGCAACUGCAGGCUGUUUAUAUGACCUAUACUUUAUUCUUUUUUUUGAGAGAGAGAGAGAGAGAGAAUUUUCAAUAUUUAUUUAUUUUUUUAAUUUUCAGCGGACACAACAUCUUUGUUUUUGUAUGUGGUGCUGAGGAUGGAACUCGGGCUGCACGCAUGCCAGGCGAGCGCGCUACCGCUUGAGCCACAUCCCCAGCCCUACUUUAUUCUUUUUAUGUUUUAAAAGAAUGUUGAAUGUAAAAUAAAAUGGAGAAUAAAAAA